rnacentral:rRNA from 1 species
UCGAGCGAGAUUUUUUCUUGUAGCAAUACAGGGAAAAGUCUAGCGGCGAACGGGUGCUUAACACGUGGGCAACCUGCCAAGAAGUGGGGGAUAGCUCGCCGAAAGGCGAAUUAAUACCGCAUGUGAUCAGAGUGGACAUCCAUUCAAAAUCAAAGUCGGGGCAACCUGACGCUUCUUGAGGGGCCCGCGGCCUAUCAGCUAGUUGGUGAGGUAACGGCCCACCAAGGCUUUGACGGGUAGCUGGUCUGAGAGGACGACCAGCCACACUGGGACUGAGACACGGCCCAGACACCUACGGGUGGCAGCAGUCGAGAAUUUUUCUCAAUGGGGGAAACCCUGAAGGAGCGACGCCGCGUGGAGGAUGAAGGUCUUCGGAUUGUAAACUCCUGUCAUUGGGGAACAAUGCGCAAAUAUUAACUGUAUUUGCGUUGAUAGUACCCGAAGAGGAAGAGACGGCUAACUCUGUGCCAGCAGCCGCGGUAAUACAGAGGUCUCAAGCGUUGUUCGGAUUCAUUGGGCGUAAAGGGUGCGUAGGCGGCGCGGUAAGUCGGGUGUGAAAUCUCGGAGCUUAACUCCGAAACUGCAUUCGAUACUGCCGUGCUUGAGGACUGGAGAGGAGACUGGAAUUUACGGUGUAGCGGUGAAAUGCGUAGAUAUCGUAAGGAAGACCAGUGGCGAAGGCGGGUCUCUGGACAGUUCCUGACGCUGAGGCGCGAAGGCCAGGGGAGCAAACGGGAUUAGAUACCCCGGUAGUCCUGGCAGU